UGUUCUAUUAUAAUCGUAAAUAGUCGUGUAGUCAGUCGACCAGUCGAUCGGUACUUAGUGAGAUAAAAUGUGUGUUAAAAACUCAGGAAUUCGAAGAAACGUGCACAAAGAAAACGGGAUUACAUUUUAUAAACGUAUUAUAAUUGACGAAUUAUUUAAAUUUCAGUUUUACGCAAAUGACAAACUUCAACAAAUAUGCGUUUUGGAAAAUGUAUGGCACUAGAAAUCCAAUAAUAUUAUGAAAUCUUUUUAUUUUCGUGUAACCCGAAAUCGUUUUCCGGUCACUUUAAAUUGUUCACGCCAAAACAUGAUGAUGUUUGUGAAGCACUUAUCCACAAAUAUGUUAUAUAGCAUAAUUAUUAUUAUUAUUACAGAUCAAAUUUGGAAAAGACUAUUGUUUAGGUACGUUACGAUAAUAUUUCAUCAUAAUAUACACGGGUAAUGAUAAAAUAAAUUAUUAUUAUAUUUUUUUUUGUAUUAUAGGUACUGUUUGUCCAUCAAACAAUUGUGUUCUUUGUGUUCGGUUAUUGUCUGUGUGUACUUAUCUUUUAUACGUUCGCAAAGGUAUACUAAUGUCAUAUAACCGAUAUAAACGAUUCAUUUGCUCAAAGUAAAUAAAAAAAAAAAAAAUAAGUAAAUAUUAAACGUCAAACAGUGAAAGAGUACAUAAAUAAAAACC